CACAACGAGUCGUUUAGCAGACAGGAAGAAAAACCCUGCACUCCCUGCACGUCUCUAGAGAGGACAGGAACACAGACACGCUCGAUCUAACCAGACGUGACGGCUGACCGCGGCAGAGAAAGAGCUCAGGGUCAUUUAAAGAUGACCUAAGGUCUGUUUCCAGAACGAACGCAACGGAGAACAAUGAAGCAUCUCUCGGAUGAUCACAGCUGACACCUCAACCCCAGAGACCCACACAUCCCAGCAUGCACUGCUCCGGGGACAGACCGCACAGGACUACAGCAAACACAGCCGAGGCUCUCUAUCAAUGACGGCUCGCCGCGGUUAUAUUAACAUUCACAGGAUCAGGAUCAGGAAGCGUCAGCAGUGUCUCUCACCUCGUCGAAGCCGCUGUCUUCUUUCUUCAAAGCUUGAUGGGGAGAGAAAGAGAAGGAAUAUCAGACAUCCAUUGAACUGAAUAUUCAACAGUGAAUAAAAUAAAUAAAUAAGCUCAAAA